UGUUUCUACAUUAACUUUAAAAAUAGUCAUUUGAGUUUAAUCCAAAUCAGCAAAAAAUAUAUAGCAUCUAAAUGGAGCAUUUACCUUUCAAGUAAUAUUUCCUGUUGUUGAAUGUGUAGAACAGUGCAAGACAGAACCUCAUUUGUGAACUGCAGAGUUUAAAGGAUAUUCUCCUAAGGCAUAUGCCUUCCUUACAACCCUUAUUUAUUUAUGCUACAGGUCGUAAUUCUAGUGAAUGUGACAUUGCAGUCAUUCUUACAGUCACAAAUUAUAAUGUGUAUGUGCAAAUUACAGCUUUCUUGCAUAGAGUAAGGAGCAGAACUGUAUCAGGUGGUAUAAGAAGGAUAAGUAAAAGUCACUUGAUAUAACAAGAAAAUAAAUUAUGAAGGAUUUUUUAACGGGGGAAAUUUUUUUCCUUAAAGGAUGCUUAGUUCUGCAAAAUUAAGAACUUCUAGCUGAUGAAUUUCAAACAAUGCCAUGAAGGAUAGAUAGUCUGAUGGAUGUGCUGACCAUACACAGGCUGAAACUUUAGCUUUAAAGUGUUGAACAUGGUGACAUUUUCAGUUCUGCUCCCUUUCUGAGGUCCAUGUGAAGCCAUUCCAAUAGGCAUCCUAUUUGCUUUUUGUUGUUAGAGUUGCUCUUUGCUUCAAAAUGCCUGAGGCACCAAAUGAGAGAGUUAUGAUAGGAUGGUGAGUUAACAGGAAAGUAGGAUAUGAGAAGACCCCUUUAGGAACAGCAUCACUUCCUCUGAUGCCAGCAACAAAUGAAGAUAUAUCCCAUUCAGUGGUGGCACAGGUCUUCUGAUUGCGCUUUUGCUUAGCUGAAUGUGUCUUUGAGUUCCUUGGGGAUAGGUUCUGAUGAUGAUAGCAGCAGCAAAAGCAUUUAUUCACUAAACAUUUUGUAUGUGCCAGGUUGUGUAAUCUCUAUGACAGUUGUGUGAAGGUCGUGCGAAGGAAUUGUUUUCUCCAUUCAUAGGCUUCAGGGCAGGAGGGAGAGCUUCUUGCUCAAGGUCACACAACUGGUAAGUGUUAGAGCUGAGCUCAGAUCUCCAAUAAUGGAAACAUUACACAAAUAGAAAGCAGCUGAAUGAACUAUUAAGUAAUACAAGCAGCAUUUCCAUGUAAACCCAUGGACCCAGAAGCAUGUGUUUUACAUUAGCCUGGGCAGGGUUUCUCAACCUACUGACAUUUUGGGCUGGAUAAUAUUUUGAUGUGAGGGUUGUCCUAAACAUUGUAAGAUGUUUAGUAGCAUUGCUUUGUAACUUUUAGCCACUAGCUAUCAGUGGCAAUCCUAAAACAAAAAAAUUGACUCCAGAGAUUGCCAAAUGUCUCCUAGCAGACAAAAUUCCUUCUGGUGAGAAGUACUACAAUAAGUAGGUCAUCCUAGGCAGGUAUACUUUAGGAACACCAAUUCCUACUAUAGUCAUCUGGAAAUAUUAUAAUUUGACAAGAAAUUAAAAGGAUCACUUUCAGCAGCACCUAUAAGACCUAGCUUAGAUGCAUUUACCUUCCUCAUUUUGUGAUGAUAGUAAUGUCUUCACUCUCUAAGAGUUCAGGAAUGGAGUGAGAACAGUUUCUUUUUUUCCUUGUUUUUUCCUUCCUUUAUAAAAGUAACAGAAGGCAAAAACAUCAUCAGUGGAAAAUGAUCAGAAACAGAAUGAAAAUACUUUCCUAGUCUAGGAGAAACAAAAGGUACAAAUUUAGGAGUAGGGCCAUGGAUGAGGGGCACUGUAUUAGUGGGAAGAUGUUUAACUCAGUGGUUGCCAGCAACACUGGGCCUAUAAACCUGUGGCCCAGUUGCAGUCAUCCUAGGCCCAAAAGAACUUAGGUGAAGGCCUAAGUGGAUUGUCUCAUACUCUACUCAUAUGUUUUCUUGAGAAUUUCUGUUUGUUAAGAAUCCAAAGUUGUUUUGUGGGUGAUGCCUCAAAUGGGAAGUGUAUGCUAGAUCAAUAGGAUGUGGUUUGAUUUAGAGUAGGAAGGGCCAGUCCAGAUUUUUAGAAGAUAGAUUUGACUUUUGCAUUUGACAAUCAUUAAUGGACAUUCUUGUACUCAUUUUGCAAUAAAGUAGAGGAUCUGCAGCACCAGUAUUCAUAGUUUGAGAACUUCACAGGGCCACACUUUGCUUUAGUUAUUACUUUGUAGCAUUCUGGUGUAAGUAUCCUGAGUACCUCAGAAUAUAUUUUAGAGAGAUAGUCUACUUAAAAUUACUUAGGUAGGCAGGCUCCCCAGAGACCUUUUGAGUUUAAUGAGGCUGACUUUGUAUAUAUUUAAUGAGUAAUAUUAAGUAUGGAAGAAUAGCAUUUUAUAGAAUAUGUAUGCUUUAGAACUUAUGGCAGACUUCUAAGAAAUCUAAUUAAUGAAAUGACUAGUGUAGGUAAUCUGGUUUAAGAAAAUCUAUAUUUACAAAACAUAGAUGAGAGCAUAAAUUUUUCAUAAUAUAAACUUAUUUUUUUAAAAGGGCUAAUAUAAACGAUAUAUCCUUAAGAGCCAUAUUGGUCACCAAUGAUUUAUCUUGGAGGCAAUAAGGAUGGGAAGAGAGCAGAGAAAAGUGCCCUGAACUCAAUCUGAUUGAGUAUGAAUCAGAAAUUAAGAAAAAUCUAUCUGAAUCCUAAGUGAGGAGAUGUAGGAGAAGGAAUUGCAGUGUAACUCCCAGGUGCAUUCCUAUCAGAAAUGGUAAGUAGGAAUAAUUAAAUGGCAACACUUUUCUUUUGUACAGCUUUGGUUCCUUUGGAAAAAUUUGAUUCUAUCACCAAAUAAAUCCCCAAAAUAUCUUGUCUACUCUGAUUAUAUACUUCAAUUCUCAACAAUAUCUGUGUCAAUCUUGUGAUCUCCAUAGAAUCAGAUGAUUUGUGAAAACUGAUAGGUAUUGUCUGAAAUGUUGUGAACAUGGGAUGCUUUGUUUAGUUGCUUUCUGUCUGCUCCAAUAUAGCCUGUACUCAACACGCCACAUAACAUAGUAGAUGAAUAUUGAAAUAUUACUUAUAUAUGAUAGAGUAUUCUUCACUUUAAUCACUGAUACAGUAUGGAAGGAUCCUGAAUUAGAUGUGACAAGUCUCCUAAGUUAGAUCCUGGUCCAAGCAGACCCGCUACCUACAUCCAUAGGAGCACAGAGAUAACAAGAAGCCAGCAGCCACCCUACUGCUCUCACUGCUGCCCUAUUUAUCAGCCAGCCCCAGGCCCAUCACCAUGGGACCCUAAAAUUUUCCACCCUCUUGACCAGUGCCCCUUCCCUACCUAAUAUGCCCAUAAAAACCACAAGCACCCUCCUCUCAGUGCCAACAGCCUUCUUGCCCUUGGCGCAUCUGCCCCCAGAUGGCAAUAAACUCAUGGCAUGUUGCUUAGUCUUUGCCUGCCUCAGUAAUCUCAAUUGUGCCUCUGUCUGACCUUACAAGAGGCAGUCUUGGCAUCUACACUCACACUCCUGUUGUUGGACAGCUUAGUGUGGCAACUGCAUUCAUUGUUUGUUGUUUUUAUAGCAAUGUAAGCAAUUAUUAGUAUCCUGGCUUUUUACAUUGAUUGGGCACUGGAAACAGUCAGGCU
ensembl:lncRNA